AGUGAACGCUGGCGGCGUGCUUAACACAUGCAAGUCGAACGAGAACGGAUUAUAGCUUGCUGUAAUUGUCAGCUAAGUGGCGCACGGGUGAGUAAUGUAUAGGUAAUAUGCCUCUUACUAAGGGAUAACAAAUGGAAACGUUUGCUAAUACCUUAUACUCCUUAUUAACAUAAGUUAAUAAGGGAAAGAUUUAUUGGUAAGAGAUUAGCCUGUAUUGUAUCAGUUAGUUGGUGGGGUAAUGGCUUACCAAGACUAUGACACAUAGCUGGUUUGAGAGGAUGAUCAGUCACACUGGAACUGAGACACGGUCCAGACUCCUACGGGAGGCAGCAGUGGGGAAUAUUGCACAAUGGACGGAAGUCUGAUGCAGCAACGCCGCGUGGAGGAUGACACAUUUCGGUGCGUAAACUCCUUUUAUAUGAGAAGAUAAUGACGGUAUUAUAUGAAUAAGCACCGGCUAACUCCGUGCCAGCCGCCGCCGUAA
rnacentral:rRNA from 1 species